rnacentral:rRNA from 1 species
AGAGUUUGAUCCUGGCUCAGAACGAACGCUGGCGGCGUGCCUAACACAUGCAAGUCGAGCGCGAAAGUCCCUUCGGGGGCGAGUAGAGCGGCGGACGGGUGAGUAAUACAUGGAUAAUCUCCCUUCGAGCUCGGGAUAACACUGCGAAAGCGGUGCUAAUACCGGAUAAGACCACGUCACCCAGGUGAUGCGGUAAAAGAUGGCUUUGUUUUCGGAUGAGGCUAUCACUUGAGGAUGAGUCCAUGGCCUAUCAGCUUGUUGGUGAGGUAAAGGCUCACCAAGGCGAUGACGGGUAGCUGGUCUGAGAGGACGACCAGCCACACUGGGACUGAGACACGGCCCAGACUCCUACGGGAGGCAGCAGUGGGGAAUAUUGGGCAAUGGGCGAAAGCCUGACCCAGCGACGCCGUGUGGGCGAUGAAGGCCUUCGGGUUGUAAAGCCCUGUUGGGUGGAAAGAAGGGCUCUAGGACGAAUAAUCCCUGAGUCUUGACGGUACCACCAGAGGAAGCACCGGCUAACUCCGUGCCAGCAGCCGCGGUAAUACGGAGGGUGCAAGCGUUGUUCGGAAUUACUGGGCGUAAAGGGCGCGUAGGUGGUUGUGUAAGUCAGAUGUGAAAUCCCGAGGCUCAACCUCGGAACUGCAUCUGAUACUGCAUGACUAGAGUGCAGCAGAGGGAAACGGAAUUCCCAGUGUAGAGGUGAAAUUCGUAGAUAUUGGGAGGAACACCGGUGGCGAAGGCGGUUUCCUGGGCUGACACUGACACUGAGGCGCGAAAGCGUGGGUAGCAAACAGGAUUAGAUACCCUGGUAGUCCACGCUGUAAACGGUG